UACGUAGGGAGCAAGCGUUGUCCGGAAUCAUUGGGCGUAAAGCGCGCGUAGGCGGCCCCGUAAGUCCGCUGUGAAAGUCAAAGGCUCAACCUUUGAAAGCCGGUGGAUACUGUGGGGCUAGAGUACGGAAGAGGCGAGUGGAAUUCCUGGUGUAGCGGUGAAAUGCGCAGAUAUCAGGAGGAACACCGGUGGCGAAGGCGGGUCUCUGGGCCGAUGACUGACGCUGAGGAGCGAAAGCGUGGGGAGCGAACGGG
rnacentral:rRNA from 1 species